rnacentral:misc_RNA from 1 species
GUAGCGGUAAAAGUGUAGCUUCUAAAUAUUUAGAAGUUGACCAGAAUGCAUUGAGAAAGGCAUUUCUUCAAUUUGUGAAGACUAUCAAUGAAAACGCGAAUCAAAAAAAAGAAUUAUUUGGAGGAUGGGAAACAUGGGCGUCUUCAAUGUCUUGCUUGUGCAAGGUCCUCUAGAGAUUUUCCAGAUAUGCAUGGCCUUAUUAUGCACACAUACAACUCUGAGAGUGCUGACUCGCAAGUGGAUCAUUUGGGUUUACAUAAAGCUCUCUGUGUAUUAAUGGGGUGGAACUACUCAAAGCCUCCUGAUAAUUCAAGAGGGUACCAGUUUCUAUCUGCUGACGAAG